rfam:Monodelphis domestica chrTn_v05.000416 genomic scaffold, whole genome shotgun sequence.
AUCUAAGGCCAUACCACCCUAAAGCUAAACAGGGGUCGAGCCUGGUUAGUACUUGGACAGGAGAUCGCCUGGGAAUUCCGGUGCUGUAGGCU